rnacentral:rRNA from 1 species
AAUGCGAGGAAGCAAUCCCAUAAACCGUGGCUCAGUUCAGAUCGUAGGCUGCAACUCGCCUACGUGAAGGAGGAAUCGCUAGUAAUCGCAGGUCAGCAUACUGCGGUAAAUACGUUCCCGGGCCUUGUACACACCGCCCGUCACACCAUGGAAGUUGGCCACGCCCGAAGCCGUUACUCCAACCCUUGUGGAGGAGGACGUCGAAGGUGGGGCUGAUGACUGGGGUGAAGUCGUAACAAGGUAUCCGUACCGGAAGGUGCGGAUGGAUCACCUCCUAA